GGAAGGUGGUCAAGCAUAUAUUAUUAUGUAAUCUAGGUGAGUAUUUUGGUGAGAUGUGUUCAGAAAGGACCGAGGUCAGUAAAAGAUGGAGAAGAAAGCCUUGUGUCUCAUGCCACAAUUUUCACGAAAUGGUCGGAAAUCUGGGACUGAAAUUGCCAUCGAUCUGUUAUAGAAUACAUUUGCCAGUAAACAGGUGAUGAGAGGUUUGCUCCAGCUGUGAACACGUCUUCCGUCUUAAACAAUUGACUCAACCGUGCACGAGGAGAUUGAAUACGUUCUCCAUCAAAGACGUCAGACUCGUGUUCCACAGCGGCUGCAUCCAUGUCAAGAUUACAUGUCGCAUGUCAGAGUUCGUCUGCUAGUAAAUUUGCAGGGUUGAAACUUAAUAUGAAGUGUAAUGUUUACUUUGGGUUGUGGAUCGGCUGUAGUUAUUUUCAAACUAUCACAAAGUAGUGUUCAGGAAGAGCACUUUGCUACACGUACAUGUAGUAGUGGUUUAUUUUCGUGUAGGUGUGGAAACAUAAACAACAAUGCACAUGUAGGACGACCGGUUUUCUUUUUGAUGGUAACAUAUUUGUGUGGGCAAAUCUGCAAUUUGGCACUUCUCCGUGAAUAAUUAUUUAUUUUAAAUUGAAUUAUAGUAUU